AACGCGAAGAACCUUACCUGGGUUUGACAUGCACAGGACGCCGGCAGAGAUGUCGGUUCCCUUGUGGCCUGUGUGCAGGUGGUGCAUGGCUGUCGUCAGCUCGUGUCGUGAGAUGUUGGGUUAAGUCCCGCAACGAGCGCAACCCUUGUCUCAUGUUGCCAGCACGUAAUGGUGGGGACUCGUGAGAGACUGCCGGGGUCAACUCGGAGGAAGGUGGGGAUGACGUCAAGUCAUCAUGCCCCUUAUGUCCAGGGCUUCACACAUGCUACAAUGGCCGGUACAAAGGGCUGCGAUGCCGCAAGGUGGAGCGAAUCCUUUAAAGCCGGUCUCAGUUCGGAUCGGGGUCUGCAACUCGACCCCGUGAAGUCGGAGUCGCUAGUAAUCGCAGAUCAGCAACGCUGCGGUGAAUACGUUCCCGGGUCUUGUACACACCG
rnacentral:rRNA from 1 species